UACGAAGGUUGCGAGCGUUGUUCGGAAUCACUGGGCUUAAAGAGCACGUAGGCGGCCUAGUAAGUGCCUUGUGAAAUCCCACGGCUCAACCGUGGAAUUGCUUGGCAUACUGCUUAGGCUUGAGGCAGGUAGGGGCGCGUGGAACUCUUGGUGGAGCGGUGGAAUGCGUAGAUAUCAAGAGGAACGCCGGAGGCGAAAGCGAUGCGCUGGGCCUGUCCUGACGCUGAGGUGCGAAAGCCAGGGGA
rnacentral:rRNA from 1 species